AACCUUGAUUUGUGCCGAGAUGCUCUGUCUUUAAACUGGAAAGACCCUGGAAGACUUCUUUUCUUUGGCACCAUUCUUAUUUCUUCCUUGCAGUUGCCUUGUUUGAAGAAGAAGAAACUGGAAUUGCCAGGCCCGGGGAAUCGGCAUGACAUAAGCGCCUUCCUCUCGAGGCGGAGGUCGGAAGACAGAAGGAGAGGAGGAAGGAGGAAGAGAGAGAGACGGGGCUCGAUAAGCGCCGCUAUCAGA